CAGUUCGGUCCCUAUCCGUCGCGGGCGCAGGAAAUUUGAGAGGAGCUGUCCUUAGUACGAGAGGACCGGGAUGGACACACCGCUGGUGUACCAGUUGUUCCGCCAGGAGCAUCGCUGGGUAGCUAUGUGUGGCAGGGAUAAACGCUGAAAGCAUCUAAGCGUGAAGCCCCCCUCAAGAUGAGAUUUCCCAUUUCUUCGGAAAGUAAGAUCCCUGAAAGAUGAUCAGGUAGAUAGGUUUGGAGUGGAAGUGUAGCGAUACAUGGAGCGGACAAAUACUAAUCGAUCGAGGACUUAACCAAAA
rnacentral:rRNA from 1 species